rnacentral:rRNA from 1 species
UACGUAGGGCGCAAGCGUUAUCCGGAAUUAUUGGGCGUAAAGAGCUCGUAGGCGGUUUGUCGCGUCUGCCGUGAAAGUCCGGGGCUCAACUCCGGAUCUGCGGUGGGUACGGGCAGACUAGAGUGCGGUAGGGGAGAUUGGAAUUCCUGGUGUAGCGGUGGAAUGCGCAGAUAUCAGGAGGAACACCGGUGGCGAAGGCGGGUCUCUGGGCCGAUACUGACGCUGAGGAGCGAAAGCGUGGGGAGCGAACAGG